rnacentral:rRNA from 1 species
GAUUCGUCACACUAUCAUUAACUGAAUCCAUAGGUUAAUGAGGCGAACCGGGGGAACUGAAACAUCUAAGUACCCCGAGGAAAAGAAAUCAACCGAGAUUCCCCCAGUAGCGGCGAGCGAACGGGGAGGAGCCCAGAGCCUGAAUCAGCAUGUGUGUUAGUGGAAGCGUCUGGAAAGGCGCGCGAUACAGGGUGACAGCCCCGUACACAAAAGCGCAUGUGCUGUGAGCUCGAUGAGUAGGGCGGGACACGUGGUAUCCUGUCUGAAUAUGGGGGGACCAUCCUCCAAGGCUAAAUACUCCUGACUGACCGAUAGUGAACCAGUACCGUGAGGGAAAGGCGAAAAGAACCCCGGCGAGGGGAGUGAAAAAGAACCUGAAACCGUGUACGUACAAGCAGUGGGAGCACCCUUCGGGGUGUGACUGCGUACCUUUUGUAUAAUGGGUCAGCGACUUAUAUUCUGUAGCAAGGUUAACCGAAUAGGGGAGCCGGAGGGAAACCGAGUCUUAAUUGGGCGUUAAGUUGCAGGGUAUAGACCCGAAACCCGGUGAUCUAGCCAUGGGCAGGUUGAAGGUUGGGUAACACUAACUGGAGGACCGAACCGACUAAUGUUGAAAAAUUAGCGGAUGACCUGUGGCUGGGGGUGAAAGGCCAAUCAAACCGGGAGAUAGCUGGUUCUCCCCGAAAGCUAUUUAGGUAGCGCCUCGUGAAUUCAUCUCCGGGGGUAGAGCACUGUUUCGGCUAGGGGGCCAUCCCGGCUUACCAACCCGAUGCAAACUGCGAAUACCGGAGAAUGUUAUCACGGGAGACACACGGCGGGUGCUAACGUCCGUCGUGAAGAGGGAAACAACCCAGACCGCCAGCUAAGGUCCCAAAGUCAUGGUUAAGUGGGAAACGAUGUGGGAAGGCCCAGACAGCCAGGAUGUUGGCUUAGAAGCAGCCAUCAUUUAAAGAAAGCGUAAUAGCUCACUGGUCGAGUCGGCCUGCGCGGAAGAUGUAACGGGGCUAAACCAUGCACCGAAGCUGCGGCAGCGAACGUAUCACCCAAGACAACUUUACGGAGUUGACGAUUGACGGAGCGAAGCGACGUCAAAGCGUUCAUUAAAGUCGAGUUGGCUUAGGGAUACGUUCGUUGGGUAGGGGAGCGUUCUGUAAGCCUGUGAAGGUGUGUCGUGAGGCAUGCUGGAGGUAUCAGAAGUGCGAAUGCUGACAUAAGUAACGAUAAAGCGGGUGAAAAGCCCGCUCGCCGGAAGACCAAGGGUUCCUGUCCAACGUUAAUCGGGGCAGGGUGAGUCGACCCCUAAGGCGAGGCCGAAAGGCGUAGUCGAUGGGAAACGGGUUAAUAUUCCCGUACUUGGUGUUACUGCGAAGGGGGGACGGAGAAGGCUAUGUUGGCCGGGCGACGGUUGUCCCGGUUUAAGCGUGUAGGUGUGUGUUCCAGGUAAAUCCGGUUCACUUUAACACUGAGGCGUGACGACGAGGCACUACGGUGCUGAAGCAACAAAUGCCCUGCUUCCAGGAAAAGCCUCUAAGCAUCAGGUAACAUCAAAUCGUACCCCAAACCGACACAGGUGGUCAGGUAGAGAAUACCAAGGCGCUUGAGAGAACUCGGGUGAAGGAACUAGGCAAAAUGGUGCCGUAACUUCGGGAGAAGGCACGCUGACACGUAGGUGAAGUGAUUUACUCAUGGAGCUGAAGUCAGUCGAAGAUACCAGCUGGCUGCAACUGUUUAUUAAAAACACAGCACUGUGCAAACACGAAAGUGGACGUAUACGGUGUGACGCCUGCCCGGUGCCGGAAGGUUAAUUGAUGGGGUCAGCGCAAGCGAAGCUCCUGAUCGAAGCCCCGGUAAACGGCGGCCGUAACUAUAACGGUCCUAAGGUAGCGAAAUUCCUUGUCGGGUAAGUUCCGACCUGCACGAAUGGCGUAAUGAUGGCCAGGCUGUCUCCACCCGAGACUCAGUGAAAUUGAACUCGCUGUGAAGAUGCAGUGUACCCGCGGCAAGACGGAAAGACCCCGUGAACCUUUACUAUAGCUUGACACUGAACAUUGAGCCUUGAUGUGUAGGAUAGGUGGGAGGCUUUGAAGUGUGGACGCCAGUCUGCAUGGAGCCGACCUUGAAAUACCACCCUUUAAUGUUUGAUGUUCUAACGUGGACCCGUAAUCCGGGUUGCGGACAGUGUCUGGUGGGUAGUUUGACUGGGGCGGUCUCCUCCUAAAGAGUAACGGAGGAGCACGAAGGUUGGCUAAUCCUGGUCGGACAUCAGGAGGUUAGUGCAAUGGCAUAAGCCAGCUUGACUGCGAGCGUGACGGCGCGAGCAGGUGCGAAAGCAGGUCAUAGUGAUCCGGUGGUUCUGAAUGGAAGGGCCAUCGCUCAACGGAUAAAAGGUACUCCGGGGAUAACAGGCUGAUACCGCCCAAGAGUUCAUAUCGACGGCGGUGUUUGGCACCUCGAUGUCGGCUCAUCACAUCCUGGGGCUGAAGUAGGUCCCAAGGGUAUGGCUGUUCGCCAUUUAAAGUGGUACGCGAGCUGGGUUUAGAACGUCGUGAGACAGUUCGGUCCCUAUCUGCCGUGGGCGCUGGAGAACUGAGGGGGGCUGCUCCUAGUACGAGAGGACCGGAGUGGACGCAUCACUGGUGUUCGGGUUGUCAUGCCAAUGGCACUGCCCGGUAGCUAAAUGCGGAAGAGAUAAGUGCUGAAAGCAUCUAAGCACGAAACUUGCCCCGAGAUGAGUUCUCCCUGAGACUUAGAGUCUCCUGAAGGAACGUUGAAGACGACGACGUUGAUAGGCCGGGUGUGUAAGCGCAGCGAUGCGUUGAGCUAACCGGUACUAAUGAACCGUGAGGCUUAACCUUACA